CUCUCUCUUCUCGCGAUACUGUUUGCGCGAUUUGGAUGCGUGCGCGCGACCAGAGAAGCCAUUCUCACUGUACAUGAGAGCUCCAUGUGGUAGUGCAUGCAUUUCAUCUAAUCUAAUGUUGUUUCAUCAUCUUUUCGGGUAAAUAUUACUCCAAUAUGUUUAAUAUGUACAAAUAUGCGUUGAAAUGGAGUUCGAAAGAGUAUUUGAUGUUUAUAUUUCAGUCAAUGCUUUUGGAUCGCGUGUCUGACGAGUGAACCUCGUGGCAAAUAGUAAAGGAUUAUUGGCCACUGCCGUAUUCCAGUCUAUAUUACCAUUUUAGUUUUUUUCAAGUAAUUUGGUUAUUUCCGGUGGACUCUGGUGUGUUUUUUUUGUUAGUCUUUCACCUUGCAUCUUACUGUAUCUCAGUGGUUGCAUGUCCUCCUCUGAACUACAUCUAGUCGAUUUGAUGUGACACUUAUUAUUGUCGUAAACUUAUCUUUGCAACAAUUGAUCGUCAUUUCUCAGAAUUUGAUUGCUUAAAUUGUGGAUAAGAGUUUUUCCUUUUUGUAUGAUAAUAAGUGAAAUUUUUAAUUAUUCAAAAUCUCCUUUUGUAAGCUUGCCUAUUCAAGUCUUGCUCCCAUCGACCGCUGUCAUUAUUUGAACAGCAGUCAGAUUAAACAAACCCCAAGUUUUGAAAAGCAUAAUUUUGCUUCCGGUGUGUGUCUCUUUUCUUCCACCCGGUUACAAUUAAAUAAUAAUAAUUUUUGGGUGAAUUCUUCCUUUACUGUACAAUUUGAGAAAGACAAGCAAGAUUGUCCGACACAUGAUGCCAUACAUUUGCAUUUUAAAGGAAUUCUGAUAGAUAGAGAAUUGAACUGGAUGAUGUAUGGGUUUGUUAUCAGGUCUAUGUGUGGGGGUAUGUGUUUCUCACUGGUGGCAUGAUUGCAGUCGUAAUGGAUUAAGCAUCUCUCAGUGUGUUUCUCUAGAUAAGACCAGCAUUCUCUGACUCUUUAUGGCUCACCAGGUUUCAUGUUAUCUACAGCAGUUUCACUCACACAGAACCGACACCAAGUGCCAGACUUGUUUCCAGUAUUCCACUGCUGGGGUGUCAGUGACAGCUUCUUUAAUGCAGAUAAGCUGCUGUCUGAGGGAAAGAGGAAGGACUGGCCACAAAAAGAGGUGGGAGAGGGAGGUAGAAAUAGCUGCAGGGGUGAGCGAGAAUAGGAGGCAACAUUCUUCAUCAGCAUGGUCGGCUGGCACAAAAGCAGAUGCUUUGAAGUGUGCACAUGAGUGACGAUAAAAAGCAUUGCAUCUCAUCCUCAUAGUAAACUGGUUGCUAUCAAAUAUGAGGGACUCUUUAAUGUUGAUAUUAUGAGAUAUUAUGCAUCCUGUGUCAUAUUUCCUCACAAUAAUAAAAAAAAGCUUAUAGAUCAGA